UCAGCAGCUGGCGGCGUCUUAACACAUGCAGUCGAACGGAAAGGCCCCUUCGGGGGUACUCGAGUGGCGAACGGGUGAGUAACACGUGGGCAAUCUGCCCUGCACUUCGGGAUAAGCCUGGGAAACUGGGUCUAAUACCGGAUAGGACCUUUAGGCGCAUGUCUUUAGGUGGAAAGCUUUUGCGGUGUGGGAUGGGCCCGCGGCCUAUCAGCUUGUUGGUGGGGUGAUGGCCUACCAAGGCGACGACGGGUAGCCGGCCUGAGAGGGUGUCCGGCCACACUGGGACUGAGAUACGGCCCAGACUCCUACGGGAGGCAGCAGUGGGGAAUAUUGCACAAUGGGCGCAAGCCUGAUGCAGCGACGCCGCGUGGGGGAUGACGGCCUUCGGGUUGUAAACCUCUUUCACCAUCGACGAAGGUUCGGGUUUUCUCGGAUUGACGGUAGGUGGAGAAGAAGCACCGGCCAACUACGUGCCAGCAGCCGCGGGUA
rnacentral:rRNA from 2 species